rnacentral:sRNA from 1 species
CCUUAGCCCCGAUUGCAACGGCAUCCUUUUUUGUUAUUGCGAUGGCUGAAUGAUUCAACAGACUGCUUCACUUCGUUCGCAAUGACAAAAAAGAUAUAGUGGAAAGCGGGAUUAAGC